rnacentral:rRNA from 1 species
AUUGAACGCUAGCGGGAUGCCUUACACAUGCAAGUCGAACGGCGUGGCGACCGGGUGCGUAAUGUUUCGGUACGUGCCCCGUAGCGUUGGAUACCUACGCCAAAGCUUAGCUAAUACCGCAUACUAUUGGAGCGGCCGAUCUCGGAUUAGCUAGUUGUUGGGGUAACGGCUAACCAGGUCGACGAUCCGUAGCUGGUUUGAGAGGACGACCAGCCACACGGGGACUGAGACACGGCCCAGACUCCUAAGGGAGGCAGCAGUGGGGAAUUUUGGACAAUGGGGGAAACCCUGAUCCAGCCAUCCCGCGUGUGCGAUGAAGGCCUUCGGGUUGUAAAGCACUUUUGGCAGGAAAGCGGUACCUGCAGAAUAAGCACCGGCUAACUACGUGCCAGCAGCCGCGGUAAUUC